rnacentral:rRNA from 1 species
UGGGGAAUUUUGGACAAUGGGGGAAACCCUGAUCCAGCCAUCCCGCGUGUGCGAUGAAGGCCUUCGGGUUGUAAAGCACUUUUGGCAGGAAAGAAACGUCGCGGGUUAAUACCCCGCGAAACUGACGGUACCUGCAGAAUAAGCACCGGCUAACUACGUGCCAGCAGCCGCGGUAAUACGUAGGGUGCAAGCGUUAAUCGGAAUUACUGGGCGUAAAGCGUGCGCAGGCGGUUCGGAAAGAAAGAUGUGAAAUCCCAGAGCUUAACUUUGGAACUGCAUUUUUAACUACCGGGCUAGAGUGUGUCAGAGGGAGGUGGAAUUCCGCGUGUAGCAGUGAAAUGCGUAGAUAUGCGGAGGAACACCGGUGGCGAAGGCAGCCUCCUGGGAUAACACUGACGCUCAUGCACGAAAGCGUGGGGAGCAAACAGGAUUAGAUACCCUGGUAGUCCACGCCCUAAACGAUGUCAACUAGCUGUUGGGGGCCUUCGGGCCUUGGUAGCGCAGCUAACGCGUGAAGUUGACCGCCUGGGGAGUACGGUCGCAAGAUUAAAACUCAAAUGAAUUGAC